rnacentral:rRNA from 1 species
UACGUAGGGCGCAAGCGUUGUCCGGAAUUAUUGGGCGUAAAGAGCUCGUAGGCGGCCUGUUGCGUCCGCUGUGAAAUCCCGGGGCUCAACCCCGGGCGUGCAGUGGAUACGGGCUGGCUGGAGGCAGGCAGGGGAGAACGGAAUUCCCGGUGUAGCGGUGAAAUGCGCAGAUAUCGGGAGGAACACCGGUGGCGAAGGCGGUUCUCUGGGCCUGACCUGACGCUGAGGAGCGAAAGCGUGGGGAGCGAACAGG